rnacentral:rRNA from 1 species
AACGAACGCUGGCGGCAGGCUUAACACAUGCAAGUCGAGCGCCCCGCAAGGGGAGCGGCAGACGGGUGAGUAACGCGUGGGAAUCUACCUUUUGCUACGGAAUAACUCAGGGAAACUUGUGCUAAUACCGUAUGUGCCCUUUUGGGGAAAGAUUUAUCGGCAAAGGAUGAGCCCGCGUUGGAUUAGCUAGUUGGUGGGGUAAAGGCCUACCAAGGCGACGAUCCAUAGCUGGUCUGAGAGGAUGAUCAGCCACACUGGGACUGAGACACGGCCCAG